rnacentral:lncRNA from 1 species
AAUUGUGAUGUAUGUGCUUAAAUCAAGACGUAUGCUGCUGCUGUGUGAUGGUUCCUCAGCUUUGCACUGGGUGCGGAGAGACUUCAUGUGAAUGUUGUUGCUGUGCUUCCUGCCCACAGCUAUCAUGGGUGUAGCAGCGAUGGAUCAGGUCUCAUCCCUGGGAAGGCCAGCAGUUUGCUGGGACACACUGCUCAGGAGCUUGGGUCCACCAAGUGGUGCAGGUGUUGGUGCUCUGGCUGGUGUCAGCCGGAGCAUUACGGAGAGAUGCAUCAGACAGGGAUGGAGUCGCUGAGAACCACUCUGCAAAGUAACCUGCCCAGGAACGAUUUCUCUAUUGCACUAUGCUACCAUCUUCUCUAACAAGAAAUACAACAAAAUACGCGUCCCUCUAAAUGUGUUACUGUGAGAUCAGGGAAAUUCCCCUUGAGGAGCAGUGUGGUGUCCUUCGUGCUGGAUCAGGGCAUCCUAUGAAGUAAAUGAAAAAACAAGAUGGUGGCUUCUCUAUGGGCUUAUUUCUGAAAUGCAGCAGAACAGCUGCCGUCC